rnacentral:rRNA from 1 species
UAGUCCACGCCGUAAACGAUGGUUACUAGCUGUUGGGCCGAUUGGGGCUCAGUGGCCAAGCGAAAGUGAUAAGUAACCCACCUGGGGAGUACGUUCGCAAGAAUGAAACUCAAAGGAAUUGACGGGGGCCCGCACAAGCGGUGGAGCAUGUGGUUUAAUUCGAUGAUACGCGAGGAACCUUACCAGGGCUUAAAUGCAGUUGGACAGGGGUGGAAACACCCCCUUCUUCGGACUGAUUGCAAGGUGCUGCAUGGUUGUCGUCAGCUCGUGCCGUGAGGUGUCAGGUUAAGUCCCAUAACGAGCGCAACCCCUAUCUUUAGUUGCCGGCGGAUAAUGCCGGGGACUCUAGAGAAACUGCCAGCGUAAGCUGUGAGGAAGGUGGGGAUGACGUCAGAUCAUCACGGCCCUUACGUCCUGGGCUACACACGUGCUACAAUGGCAAGGACAAUGAGCUGCCAACCCGCGAGGGUGAGCAAAUCUUCAAACCUUGUCUCAGUUCGGAUCGGAGU